rnacentral:sRNA from 1 species
UGCCGCUGCCCUCCUUGGGCGUUUCCUCCCAGACUUGGGCCGCUUGGUUUGACGAGCGGCCCUUUUUCUUGGCGCC